UAAUUAAAAUUCAGUAAGGGGUAGAGGAAUCCAGUGUAAUUCUGGACCUGUGCCGCAACGGUGAUUAAAAAGGGACUAGGGUCAGGAGGCCCUUCGUUAAACUCAGGGCAAGCAAGUGACAAGCGCAACUUACACUUGUUACAUGUUGCCUGAAACUUGUCGCUUUUUAUAAGGCCGGAACUCUCCUUUACCAAAAAAUCCCG
rnacentral:ncRNA from 1 species